AAGGACCGACCGGUAAAGCCAUUGGCUAUGGCCCGUCUUCUUUUCUUGCUUUUCUGCAAUGGAAUGCUGCUAUUUCUGAUAAAACAGACAAGGCGGAGAAAGGUAGAGCACACCUAUCAUACAUGCUUUUUCAGAAAGAAUCCCGCAUAAGCUUCUGCUGGAGCGGAAACUCGAAAGAAAUGCCGGGUGACGGAAUAGGAAAAGCGGAUUCUCGGUUAGCUUCAGCACUGGAGGGUGAUCGUAAUGGAGAGGCCCUUCUUAG
rnacentral:lncRNA from 1 species